CUUACCACUUUGUGAUUCAUGACUGGGGUGAAGUCGUAACAAGGUAACCGUAGGGGAACCUGCGGUUGGAUCACCUCCUUACCUGAAGA
rnacentral:rRNA from 2 species